rnacentral:lncRNA from 1 species
CUGCACAUUCAUAUAAAUAUAUUUGGCAUCUUUGUCUUCAUGCCUCAUUGCCACAUUGCCUCAUCAAAUAAACACACCACAAUUGAAGUUGUGAUCAACAGAGAGAAAAUGACUAGCAGCUGCUGGAACAGAUUCUUCUGUGGGUUGGUGUUUCUUUGCUUUGGGUUUCUUGGCUUAAUCACUUCUCCAGCAGAAGCUGCCAUAAAAAAAUACCAAUUUGAUGUGAGUUGUUUCAAAUGCUCUAAUAUCAUUUGCAUGCACAAACAUACAACCUUCAAACAACAUAUUGAAAAAGAAAAAAAAAGUUGUACUUUGUGCAUGGCUUUCCAAUUGAUAACAUCCUCUGUGUUUUCACAGGUCCAAGUGAAGAAUGUGAGUAGAUUAUGCCAUGCAAAAUCCAUUGUUACUGUAAAUGGAAGGUUUCCGGGGCCGACCAUCUAUGUCAGGGAAGGAGACAGAGUUGUCGUCAAUGUUACAAACCAUGCUCAAUACAACAUGUCAAUUCACUGGUAAGAGUUGAACUAAAUAAUUAACCAAAAAAACAAGUGAUCAAAAUCAAAACCAAAUAAUCAGCAUGCCUUAGCUUAUAGCUGAUUGAGUUAUAUAUGUUCUUACAGGCAUGGACUGAAGCAAUAUCGAAACGGUUGGGCAGAUGGACCGGCUUAUAUAACACAAUGUCCAAUUCAGACCGGAAGCAGCUAUACUUAUGACUUCAAUGUAACAGGGCAAAGAGGAACUCUAUGGUGGCAUGCACACAUUCUUUGGUUGAGGGCCACCGUCUAUGGUGCAAUUGUUAUCAUGCCUAAACAAGGCACCCCAUUUCCUUUCCCACAACCACACAGGGAAGCUGAAAUUAUACUCGGAGAAUGGUGGAAUGUCGAUGUGGAAGAGUUUGUCAAGAAAGCAAACAACUUGGGAUUGGCACCAAACACCUCUGACGCGCACACAAUCAAUGGGAAGCCAGGGCCUUUGUUUCCUUGCUCUGAGAAACGUAAGCACAAUUAAUCAGAGAAAACACAAGUAUAUGAAAUUUUGGGAUCAAGGCCAAACCACAAAGGUGGUUGGCAUGCAAAUUGCAGAAGUUCUAAUUCCGAUUUUGUUCUGUUUUUCUUGGUUUAGAUACUUUUGUUAUGGAGGUUGAGCAAGGGAAGACCUAUCUACUGAGAAUUAUCAAUGCUGCUCUCAAUGAUGAACUUUUCUUCGCCAUUGCCGGUCACAACCUAACAGUGGUGGAGGUUGAUGCAGUGUACACAAAACCAUUCACUACUCAAGCCAUACUAAUUGCACCUGGUCAGACCACAAACGUUUUGGUACAAGCCAAUCAAGCUUCAGGCAGAUACUUCAUGGCUACUAGGCCUUUCAUGGAUGCUCCAGUUCCCAUAGACAACAAGGCAGCCACAGGAAUAUUCCAAUACAAAGGCAUCCCCAACACUGUUCUACCAAGCCUUCCUCAACUGCCUGUCUCUAAUGACACAUCCUUUGCUUUAAGCUACGGCAAGAAACUCAAGAGCUUAAACACUCCAAAUUUUCCAGCAAAUGUUCCUCUCAAAGUUGACAGAAAGCUCUUCUACACAAUUGGUUUUGGAAAAGAAUCCUGCCCAACUUGCCUUAAUGGAACAAGAUUUGUUGCUUCCUUGAACAAUAUCUCUUUUGAGAUGCCUCAGGUUGGGCUUCUACAAGCCCAUUACUUCAAUCUCAAGGGAGUGUUCAAAACUGACUUCCCUGAUAGCCCACAAACUCCUUUCAAUUAUACCGGUGCACCACUUACAGCCAAUCUUGGGACUUCCACAGGGACUAGGCUGAGCAAGAUUGCCUUCAACUCUACUGUUGAGCUGGUGUUGCAGGACACCAACCUUCUAACAGUUGAGACACAUCCAUUCCAUCUCCAUGGAUACAAUUUCUUUGUUGUUGGAACUGGGAUUGGGAAUUUUGAUCCCGCCAAGGACCCUGCUAAAUACAACUUGGUUGAUCCUGUUGAGAGAAAUACAGUAGGAGUUCCCACAGGUGGUUGGACUGCCAUUCGUUUUAGAGCUGAUAAUCCAGGUAUGACAAUUGCAAAUAAUUAUUUCGAGUAAUGUUACAUGUAACACAUUUACUUACUUGUAGGUUAUUUACUUAUUAUAUGCUUUGCUUCCUGUUUGAAUGUCUAGGCGUUUGGUUCAUGCACUGUCAUCUGGAGCUUCAUACAGGCUGGGGACUGAAAACAGCAUUCGUGGUAGAAGAUGGACCAGGAUCAGAUCAAUCUGUUCUGCCUGUGCCUAAGGAUCUUCCGCCAUGCUGA